CUGAAACAUCUAAGUACCCCGAGGAAAAGAAAUCAACCGAGAUUCCCCCAGUAGCGGCGAGCGAACGGGGAGCAGCCCAGAGCCUGAAUCAGUAUGUGUGUUAGUGGAAGCGUCUGGAAAGGCGCGCGAUACAGGGUGACAGCCCCGUACACAAAAAUGCACAUGCUGUGAGCUCGAUGAGUAGGGCGGGACACGUGGUAUCCUGUCUGAAUAUGGGGGGACCAUCCUCCAAGGCUAAAUACUCCUGACUGACCGAUAGUGAACCAGUACCGUGAGGGAAAGGCGAAAAGAACCCCGGCGAGGGGAGUGAAAAAGAACCUGAAACCGUGUACGUACAAGCAGUGGGAGCACGCUUAGGCGUGUGACUGCGUACCUUUUGUAUAAUGGGUCAGCGACUUAUAUUCUGUAGCAAGGUUAACCGAAUAGGGGAGCCGAAGGGAAACCGAGUCUUAACUGGGCGUUAAGUUGCAGGGUAUAGACCCGAAACCCGGUGAUCUAGCCAUGGGCAGGUUGAAGGUUGGGUAACACUAACUGGAGGACCGAACCGACUAAUGUUGAAAAAUUAGCGGAUGACUUGUGGCUGGGGGUGAAAGGCCAAUCAAACCGGGAGAUAGCUGGUUCUCCCCGAAAGCUAUUUAGGUAGCGCCUCGUGAAUUCAUCUCCGGGGGUAGAGCACUGUUUCGGCAAGGGGGUCAUCCCGACUUACCAACCCGAUGCAAACUGCGAAUACCGGAGAAUGUUAUCACGGGAGACACACGGCGGGUGCUAACGUCCGUCGUGAAGAGGGAAACAACCCAGACCGCCAGCUAAGGUCCCAAAGUCAUGGUUAAGUGGGAAACGAUGUGGGAAGGCCCAGACAGCCAGGAUGUUGGCUUAGAAGCAGCCAUCAUUUAAAGAAAGCGUAAUAGCUCACUGGUCGAGUCGGCCUGCGCGGAAGAUGUAACGGGGCUAAACCAUGCACCGAAGCUGCGGCAGCGACGCUGAUGCGUUGUUGGGUAGGGGAGCGUUCUGUAAGCCUGCGAAGGUGUGCUGUGAGGCAUGCUGGAGGUAUCAGAAGUGCGAAUGCUGACAUAAGUAACGAUAAAGCGGGUGAAAAGCCCGCUCGCCGGAAGACCAAGGGUUCCUGUCCAACGUUAAUCGGGGCAGGGUGAGUCGACCCCUAAGGCGAGGCCGAAAGGCGUAGUCGAUGGGAAACAGGUUAAUAUUCCUGUACUUGGUGUUACUGCGAAGGGGGGACGGAGAAGGCUAUGUUGGCCGGGCGACGGUUGUCCCGGUUUAAGCGUGUAGGCUGGUUUUCCAGGCAAAUCCGGAAAAUCAAGGCUGAGGCGUGAUGACGAGGCACUGCGGUGCUGAAGCAACAAAUGCCCUGCUUCCAGGAAAAGCCUCUAAGCAUCAGGUAACAUCAAAUCGUACCCCAAACCGACACAGGUGGUCAGGUAGAGAAUACCAAGGCGCUUGAGAGAACUCGGGUGAAGGAACUAGGCAAAAUGGUGCCGUAACUUCGGGAGAAGGCACGCUGAUAUGUAGGUGAAGUCCCUCGCGGAUGGAGCUGAAAUCAGUCGAAGAUACCAGCUGGCUGCAACUGUUUAUUAAAAACACAGCACUGUGCAAACACGAAAGUGGACGUAUACGGUGUGACGCCUGCCCGGUGCCGGAAGGUUAAUUGAUGGGGU
rnacentral:rRNA from 1 species